GUGCCCCAACCAGGGAGCUGGCACAGAGUCGACAUCUCGGGAAAAGCCAUCUGACCGUCGCUGUCAAACAGGGGUUGCAGUAGGGAGCAGCUUGACCUGUCAACACCAACAAAGGACACAUGGUACUAUCCAGAAUGUUUGACUGACGAGGAAAUGCUGCAGGUGGUCUGUGACUAUGAAGUAGAAGAGAGUACUACAGUAGAAGCAACAUCGGCAGAGUGUGUAACCCCAUUUCAACAAAACAGAGCAGGUAUACCCACAGAACCCACGGGGGUGAUUGUGCACCCGAGGGACACCGCUAACACCUUAUAUGUAGAGUUGAUAAAUGAAAUCAGUGAACUGCGUCGUUCCAACACCG
ensembl:lncRNA